GGAAUUAAAUGUGUGGCUAUAACAUCAAACAACCAGAAUUUAAGAAUUAUUAUAGAAUAGAAUAAAGUGAGGGUCUGAAGAAUUAUCAAUAAAGCAUGAUCCUUUCAGAACCCUGGGCUUUAGCUGAACACAUAGCUACCCAACUAAAGUGUCUUUUGCAGCUAGAAAUGGCCAUGUGAUCAAGUUUGGAGGAACUAGAGGGGUUGGCAAGUGAUGAGUGUGACUUUGGACCACCUCCUUGAAGAUGCACCUGCUUCCCAGGAUUUCUUUCCCACUUCCCACAGGCGGGAGAGUGGGCACCCAGGCUUUAGUCACAACCACCAAGAUGACCCUAUGGGGGAGGUGCCAAGGAGAGAAGAUGGACCUCUUGGAGAGGAGUAGCCACAUCUCCAGCUAUGGACUGCUGACAUAAGUACUAUUUAGAGAGAGAAAAAUAAACUAUCCUGUGUAAGUCA
rnacentral:lncRNA from 1 species